rnacentral:rRNA from 1 species
UACGUAGGGGCUAGCGUUGUCCGGAUUUAUUGGGCGUAAAGAGCGUGUAGGCGGCCAGGUAGGUCUGCUGUGAAAACUCGAGGCUCAACCUCGAGACGUCGGCGGAAACCAUCUGGCUAGAGUCCGGAAGAGGAGAGUGGAAUUCCGUGGAUGUAGCGGUGAAAUGCGCAGAUAUCAGGAAGAACACCCGUGGCGAAGGCAGCUCUCUGGGUCCCUACCGACGCUGGGGUGCGAAAGCAUGGGGAGCGAACAGG